AAUAGAUGACGCCGUUGACUUUUUCUCACAUGUUUGACCAUUCGUCUUAUUCAAAAAAUUUAUGCAAAUGUAUAAGAUAUAAAUCGCACUUAAAGUACUAUGAGUGAUAAAACAACUCAUAACAAAUAAAUUAUAAUUACGUAAAUUUUUUGAAUAAGACGAAUGGUCAAACAUGUGAGAAAAAAUCAACGGCAUCAUCUAUU
rnacentral:pre_miRNA from 1 species